rnacentral:rRNA from 1 species
AUGAACGCUAGCUACAGGCUUAACACAUGCAAGUCGAGGGGCAUCAUGAAGUCAGCUUGCUGACUUGAUGGCGACCGGCGCACGGGUGCGUAACACGUAUCCAAUCUACCCAUGGCUCGGGGAUAGCCUUUCGAAAGAAAGAUUAAUACCCGAUGGUUUCAUCGCUCCGCAUGGAGUGUUGAAUAAAGAUUUAUCGGCGAUGGAUGAGGAUGCGUCCGAUUAGCUUGUUGGCGGGGUAACGGCCCACCAAGGCGACGAUCGGUAGGGGCUCUGAGAGGAGGAUCCCCCACAUUGGAACUGAGACACGGUCCAAACUCCUACGGGAGGCAGCAGUGAGGAAUAUUGGUCAAUGGACGAGAGUCUGAACCAGCCAAGUAGCGUGAGGGAACCGACUGCCCUAUGGGUUGUAAACCUCUUUUGUUUGGGAAUAAAGUGCGGGACGUGUCCUGCAUUGCAUGUACCUUACGAAUAAGCAUCGGCUAAUUCCGUGCCAGCAGCGGC